CUUAUAGAUCUUCCUGGAGGAGCUUGCUAUCUAACCGAUAAUCCACGUUACACCUCACCAACUUUUGAAAAAUCARCYUGUAUACCAUCGUCGUCAGUUUACCCCGUAAGGAAAGURCRCAAAAAGAACAAAAACUCUCCACGCCAGAUCGAGGUGCAGCUUAUAAGUUGGGGAUCAGUGAGCUACAAUAAUUUAAUACCCCCCACAGAACACAAUUUUGAAUAAGUAAAUGAAAAUUUUACUUUGAAACAGGAUUCAGCAGUAACAGNUAAAAUAGAAACUAACCGUGAACCA
rnacentral:rRNA from 1 species